GUGGAAUUUCUUUUGUGUCUCUCGGUGCUCGCGCUCUCCGUCCCUCUGUACUUGCUUCGUGCUCAGCACUGCUGACACGGAUGUCCUCCAGGGGAGACCUCUCCCUCGUCCUCCAAUGAUGAGCAACAGUCUGCAUUGGGUGGGAACCAGGAGAGAGAGGUCAGCGCCCACCCCACACUCCUGCAGGCUCACCAGCGGCUGCUCCCCGCCUCGGUGCCCUGCUCAGCUCUCACAAGAAAUCCACAUCCGGACUUGCUGGUGUCUCAGUGUCCCACCCAGCCGCAUCGUGGGACCUCCCUGUCACCUCACAGAAGGUUCCUCUAUUUCUCCUAUGGAUCUGCUUCCUGUCGUCUGCUUUAUUUCAACGGAGCGUGUCCUUCAUGAGGUGUUUUCCAGAUCUCAUCAGGAAUAUGGAGAAUGCUGCCACCGUUUGGGCUAGUCCACGCACGGCUGUGUCCUCCUCGCCUGCUCACCGGACACGGCGGUGUGUGACUCUGAGAACUUCCUCAAAGUCGGAGUGACUUGGAACACCGAGGCACCUGUGACAGCACAGCUGAAGGUGGUGCUUCUUGUGAAGAAAAUUCAGAGCGGCUUCAGAGAGGAGUAAGAACGAGGGGGCAGGUGUGUUGGGGAGGAGGGGACUAAUGACAGCCAGGCUUUUACUGUAAAAGUAUUUAAAAAAUAUAAACAUUCAUUGUAUUUUUGCUCACAUUUAUUACACCGUCAAAUUAGAGAUUUUACUACGUUGAGGUUGAAUUAAUCCCUCCUGAGCCCCUAUUGAUUUCUUACAUUCUUACUGGCUCUGAUAUGGGCUGGUAUCUUCCUAAAAGUUUCAGCUUUUCUUUUUGAAACUGCUAUUUAAAAAAAAUGCAGUUUUCUUUUUAUUAUUUUAACUGUAAAACUUUUGGGGGAUAUUUGCUUAACCAGCUGAUCAUUCAAUAUUAAUUUACUAC
rnacentral:lncRNA from 1 species